GCUCUGCUUCGUUCUCUAUUCUUCCAUGUUAGAUUCCAGAUAUACAUUAGUCAUGAAUCGGACUUAUCAUGUCACAUAUAUAACAUAUAAACCCUCCAAAUGUUACUUUUAAUUCGAUGUUUAAUUUGUCUCAAAAUUAAUCACCUCGUUAAUUAGUCUUUCAUGCUUCAUAAGUUUUUUUUUUGUUUUUCUCAGUUAACUUCUUGUAAAUCUGAGAAACUUUCUUGGCUAUAGAUAUAAAACAAAACAGAAAAACUUUUUCGUUUUUUCUUUCACUUUGAACUUUUCGUUACAAAUUAGAAUCUAACAUCACUUUAUAAAAGUAUUAUUAUAUACUCUCUCUUUUCUUUUUUCUUAUUCCCCUUAUAAUCCAGAAAAUAGAACAAUUGUAUAAGGGAAUAUAUAUACACUUUUGGGUAACUAUAUCAAGCAAAUGUAAGAAGUGAAAUCACUUGGGCAAAAAGUGAGUUCGCUUAUUAAUAUUAUACCUUUGACCCUUCUAGUUA
rnacentral:precursor_RNA from 1 species